rnacentral:rRNA from 1 species
GAAUCUUCCGCAAUGGACGAAAGUCUGACGGAGCAACGCCGCGUGAGUGAAGAAGGCCUUCGGGUCGUAAAACUCUGUUGUUAGGGAAGAACAAGUGUCGGAGUAACUGCCGGCACCUUGACGGUACCUAACCAGAAAGCCACGGCUAACUACGUGCCAGCAGCCGCGGUAAUGCGUAGGUGGCAAGCGUUGUCCGGAAUUAUUGGGCGUAAAGCGCGCGCAGGCGGUUUCUUAAGUCUGAUGUGAAUGCCCCCGGCUCAACCGGGGAGGGUCAUUGGAAACUGGGAAACUUGAGUGCAGAAGAGAAGAGCGGAAUUCCACGUGUAGCGGUGAAAUGCGUAGAGAUGUGGAGGAACACCAGUGGCGAAGGCGGCUCUUUGGUCUGUAACUGACGCUGAGGCGCGAAAGCGUGGGGAGCAAACA